rnacentral:tRNA from 1 species
GGUUGUGGCUCAAUGGUAAAGUGCUCGCCUAGCAUGCAUGAGGCACUGGGUUCAAUCCUCAGCACCA